rnacentral:lncRNA from 1 species
UAUUGUUUAAAAAAAUUAACAAAAAACUCAAAAUACAUUAGGGGGAUUUGCUAAAAAUGACUCAAAACUUGAUUUUGAAUACAAAAGUGUACCCCAAAUUCAAUCAAAUGCAAAAGUAACCCAAAAGCCUAGUGAAAUUACAACAGCCUCUUAUGAGCAAACCAAAUACAUGUAUUCAAUUUUACCAUUAUAACCCAGAACUUCACCACAACAGCUACCUACUCGUUAAU